rnacentral:rRNA from 1 species
UACAGAGGUCUCAAGCGUUGUUCGGAUUCAUUGGGCGUAAAGCGCACGUAGGCGGCUUUGUAAGUUAGAGGUGAAAGCCCGGAGCUCAACUCCGGAAUUGCCUUUAAGACUGCAUCGCUUGAAUCCGGGAGAGGUGAGUGGAAUUCCGAGUGUAGAGGUGAAAUUCGUAGAUAUUCGGAAGAACACCAGUGGCGAAGGCGGCUCACUGGACCGGUAUUGACGCUGAGGUGCGAAAGCGUGGGGAGCAAACAGG